CCUACGGGGGGCAGCAGUCGAGAAUCAUUCACAAUGGGGGAAACCCUGAUGGUGCGACGCCGCGUGGGGGAAUGAAGGUCUUCGGAUUGUAAACCCCUGUCAUGUGGGAGCAAAUUAAAAAGAUAGUACCACAAGAGGAAGAGACGGCUAACUCUGUGCCAGCAGCCGCGGUAAUACAGAGGUCUCAAGCGUUGUUCGGAAGCACUGGGCGUAAAGCGUGCGUAGGCUGUUUCGUAAGUCGUGUGUGAAAGGCGCGGGCUCAACCCGCGGACGGCACAUGAUACUGCGAGACUAGAGUAAGGGAGGGGGAACCGGAAUGCUCGGUGUAGCAGUGAAAUGCGUAGAUAUCGAGAGGAACACUCGUGGCGAAGGCGGGUUCCUGGACAUUAACUGACGCUGAGGCACGAAGGCCAGGGGAGCGAAAGGGAUUAGAUACCCCUGUAGUC
rnacentral:rRNA from 1 species